AUUGAACGCUGGCGGCAGGCCUAACACAUGCAAGUCGAGCGGCAGCACAAGGGAACUUGUUCCUGAGGUGGCGAGCGGCGGACGGGUGAGUAAUGCCUAGGGAUCUGCCCAGUCGAGGGGGAUAACAGUUGGAAACGACUGCUAAUACCGCAUACGCCCUACGGGGGAAAGGAGGGGACCUUCGGGCCUUUCGCGAUUGGAUGAACCUAGGUGGGAUUAGCUAGUUGGUGAGGUAAUGGCUCACCAAGGCGACGAUCCCUAGCUGUUCUGAGAGGAUGAUCAGCCACACUGGGACUGAGACACGGCCCAGACUCCUACGGGAGGCAGCAGUGGGGAAUAUUGCACAAUGGGGGAAACCCUGAUGCAGCCAUGCCGCGUGUGUGAAGAAGGCCUUCGGGUUGUAAAGCACUUUCAGUCAGGAGGAAAGGGUGAGUCUUAAUACGGCUCAUYUGUGACGUUACUGACAGAAGAAGGACCGGCUAACUCCGUGC
rnacentral:rRNA from 1 species